CCUACGGGAGGCUGCAGUGAGGAAUAUUGGUCAAUGGCCGGAAGGCUGAACCAGCCAUGCCGCGUGAAGGUCAGUGCCCUAUGGGCGUUAAACUUCUUUUGUGCGGGAGUAAUAAUGGUCACGUGUGGCCAGACGAGAGUACCGUACGAAUAAGCAUCGGCUAACUCCGUGCCAGCAGCCGCGGUAAUACGGGGGAUGCAAGCGUUAUCCGGAUUUAUUGGGUUUAAAGGGUGCGUAGGUUGUGAGGUAAGUCAGCGGGGAAAUGCCCCCGCUCAACGGGGUGAAGUGCCAUUGAUACUGCCUUGCUGGAAUGCGGAUGCCGUGGGAGGAAUGUGUGGUGUAGCGGUGAAAUGCAUAGAUAUCACACAGAACACCGAUUGCGAAGGCAUCUCACGAAUCCGCGAUUGACGCUGAUGCACGAAAGCGUGGGUAUCAAACAGGAUUAGAUACCCCUGUAGUC
rnacentral:rRNA from 1 species